rnacentral:rRNA from 1 species
AUUGAACGCUGGCGGCAGGCCUAACACAUGCAAGUCGAACGAGUGGCGGACGGGUGAGUAAUGUCUGGGAAACUGCCUGAUGGAGGGGGAUAACUACUGGAAACGGUAGCUAAUACCGCAUACCAUCGGAUGAGCCCCGGUGGGAUUAGCUAGUAGGUGGGGUAAAGGCUCACCUAGCCGACGAUCCCUAGCUGGUCUGAGAGGAUGACCAGCCACACUGGAACUGAGACACGGUCCAGACUCCUACGGGAGGCAGCAGUGGGGAAUAUUGCACAAUGGGCGCAAGCCUGACGCAGCCAUGCCGCGUGUAUGAAGAAGGCCUUCGGGUUGUAAAGUACUUUCAGCAGGGAGGCGUUACCCGCAGAAGAAGCACCGGCUAACUCCGUGCCAGCAGCCGCGGUAAUUC